rnacentral:rRNA from 1 species
AAUACGGAGUGGCAGACGGGUGAGUAACACGUGGGAACGUGCCUUUUGGUUCGGAACAACCCAGGGAAACUUGGGCUAAUACCAGAUAAGCCCUUCGGGGGAAAGAUUUAUCGCCAGAAGAUCGGCCCGCGUCUGAUUAGCUAGUUGGUGGGGUAACGGCCCACCAAGGCUACGAUCAGUAGCUGGUCUGAGAGGAUGAUCAGCCACACUGGGACUGAGACACGGCCCAGACUCCUACGGGAGGCAGCAGUUAGGAAUCUUGGACAAUGGGCGCAAGCCUGAUCCAGCCAUGCCGCGUGAGUGAUGAAGGCCUUAGGGUUGUAAAGCUCUUUCAGCGGGGAAGAUAAUGACGGUACCCGCAGAAGAAGCCCCGGCUAACUUCGUGCCAGCAGCCGCGGUAAUACGAAGGGGGCUA